UACGAAGGGGGCGAGCGUUGUUCGGAAUUACUGGGCGUAAAGGGCGCGUAGGCGGCCGAUCAAGUCAGAUGUGAAAGUCCUGGGCUUAACCUGGGGACUGCAUUUGAUACUGAUUGGCUUGAAUGCAGGAGAGGAUAGCGGAAUUCCCAGUGUAGAGGUGAAAUUCGUAGAUAUCGAGAGGAACAUCGGUGGCGAAGGCGGCCUUCUGGACGGUGACUGACGCUGAGACGCGAAAGCGUGGGGAGCAAACAGG
rnacentral:rRNA from 1 species